GGAGACACCUUCUCCAGCCCUGACAGUGCCAUGGCUGUCAGGCUCCUCUGCAAAGUGGGCUUUUACCUUCUGGAGGCAGGCCUCAUGGAUGUUCAUAUCUCCCAGACCCCACGACACCAUGUUAUGGGGAAGGAAAAGAUUACUCUGAAAUGUCCUCAAACCAUAGGCCUUGACAAAAUGUCCUGUUAUCAACAAGAUCCAGGAAUGGAACUACAGCUGAUCCAUUAUUCAUAUGGUUUUAACACCACAGAGAAAGGAAAGAUUUCCUCUGAGUCAACAGUCUCCAGGAUAAGGAAGGAGCAUUUUUCCCUGACCCUGGAGUCUGCCAGCCCCUCACACACAUCUUGGUACCUCUGUGCCAGCAGUGAAUACACAGCCCUACACAGGCACCUACAGACUGCACAAAAAUGGCAGUCACUAAGGUGUGGAAGUCCUGCCUUCAGAAACCUCAUCUUAAACUGCAGAAUCCACUGCAAAUCCUCCCAGGCUCCUCAGUCCUGGAGGACCAGUGUGGCCUGA